UGAGGAGGAGAGUGAGAAAGUUUUGGAAGUGGAGUAGAAGUACAAUGAAAUACGCAAGCCGAUUUAUGAUAAGCGGAAUGAGAAGAUUAAGUCAAUUCCUGAUUUCUGGUUAACGGAUUUCUUGAGUCAUCCUGCUCUUGGUGAACUUCUGAAUGAAGAGGAUCAGAAGAUAUUCAAGUAUAUUAGCUCACUCGAAGUGGAGGAUUUUAAAGAUCUGAAAUCUGGCUACUCUAUUACGUUUGUAAGUU